rnacentral:rRNA from 1 species
UACGUAGGGUGCGAGCGUUGUCCGGAAUUAUUGGGCGUAAAGAGCUUGUAGGCGGUUUGUCGCGUCUGCUGUGAAAAUCCGGGGCUCAACCCCGGACUUGCAGUGGGUACGGGCGGACUAGAGUGUGGUAGGGGAGACUGGAAUUCCUGGUGUAGCGGUGAAAUGCGCAGAUAUCAGGAGGAACACCGAUGGCGAAGGCAGGUCUCUGGGCCACUACUGACGCUGAGAAGCGAAAGCAUGGGGAGCGAACAGG